rnacentral:rRNA from 1 species
UGGGGAAUCUUGCACAAUGGGGAAACCCUGGAUGCAGCGACGCCGCGUGAGCGAUGAAGCCCUUCGGGGUGUAAAGCUCUUUCGGCUGGAACGAUAAUGACGGUACCAGCAGAAGAAGCUGCGGCUAACUACGUGCCAGCAGCCGCGGUAAUACGUAGGCAGCGAGCGUUGUUCGGAGUUACUGGGCGUAAAGAGUGCGUAGGCGGUGCGGUAAGUCUGGUGUGAAAUCUCCCGGCUCAACUGGGAGGGUGCGCCGGAAACUGCCGUGCUUGGAGUGUGGGAGAGGUAAGCGGAAUUCCUGGUGUAGCGGUGAAAUGCGUAGAUAUCAGGAGGAACACCUGCGGUGUAAGACAGCUUACUGGACCAUAACUGACGCUGAGGCACGAAAGCGUGGGUAGCAAACA